rnacentral:misc_RNA from 1 species
CAGAGUUGCAAAACUCCCAACCCUUUGUGAACGUACUGAAAAGUUGCUUCGGCGGGAGGCUCCUCAGGGAGCGGACCGCCGGAGGAAUCCAAACUCUUGUUUUUUUGGCAUCUCUGAGUAGCUUAUAAUAAGUUA